rnacentral:rRNA from 1 species
GGGGGGCGUUUACCACGGUGUGGUCCAUGACUGGGGUGAAGUCGUAACAAGGUAACCGUAGGGGAACCUGCGGUUGGAUCACCUCCUUACGAAG